rnacentral:rRNA from 1 species
UGCCAGCAGCCGCGGUAAUACGGAGAGGGCAAGCGUUGUUCGGAAUCACUGGGCAUAAAGCGCACGCAGGCGGAUUGGAAAGUCGGUUGUGAAAGCCCGGGGCUCAACUCCGGAACUGCUUCCGAAACUUCCAGUCUAGAGGAUGAGAGGGGAGAGUGGAACUUCUGGUGGAGCGGUGAAAUGCGUAGAGAUCAGAAGGAACACCGGUGGCGAAAGCGACUCUCUGGCUCAUUUCUGACGCUCAGGUGCGCAAGCUAGGAGAGCGAACGGGAUUAGAUA